rfam:Trichobilharzia regenti genome assembly, scaffold: TRE_scaffold0000776
AUCCAGAUGAAGAGUCCCAAAUAGGACGAAAUUCUCAUCCUGGAU